rnacentral:lncRNA from 1 species
AGAAGAGGGAGGUGACGGCAUGGUUGAAGACCAUGGUCAGGAAAGUGGGACCACAUCCAGGCUGUUCUACCGACUGGUUGAUAGGUUUUUCUAUUUCUUCUUGACUCUAUUUUCCUCAUUUACACUUUCCUCGAACAUUGGGCCAUUUCAUAUUCAUCGAUGGAAUUCUAGAAGACAGGAUUGUCAACCUCUGGUUCUCAAAAGUGUGGUCUGCAGAGCCCUUGGGCAUCCCCAAGACCCUUCCAGGAGUCUGCAAGG